ACUCGAGUGGCGAACGGGUGAGUAACACGUGGGUGAUCUGCCCUGCACUUCGGGAUAGGCCUGGGAAACUGGGUCUAAUACCGGAUAGGAGCCAUUUUUAGUGUGAUGGUUGGAAAGUUUUUUCGGUGUAGGAUGAGCUCGCGGCCUAUCAGCUUGUUGGUGGGGUAAUGGCCUACCAAGGCGGCGACGGGUAGCCGGCCUGAGAGGGUGGACGGCCACAUUGGGACUGAGAUACGGCCCAG
rnacentral:rRNA from 1 species